GGAUUGUGGCUCAGCGGUAGAGCGCUCGCCUGGCAUGCGCGAGGCCCUGGGGUUCGAUCCUCAACACCA
rnacentral:tRNA from 1 species